rnacentral:lncRNA from 1 species
CUCCUCCCCUGGGAAUGUCCCCUCCCAUGUGGCCCCACUCCUUCCUCUCCCAGCUUCCUUCCCUUUUCUCCUGACCUACCAACCCUUUUCUGUCACUGCUGGGGCAUCUGUCCCCAAGACCAGACGAUCACAGAGGGAAAAGCCCAGAACACCAGCCUGGAGAGGGGAGUGUGGAUCGUCCUGGGCCUACUGUCUAACAGAAUUCCGGGCAGAGAAGGCCGGGUCCUGCUCUUUGUGUGCCUCCCCAUCCCUCAUCUGUUCUGGGGACAAGUCAGUCCCUCCGUUUUAGAGGCUGGACAGUGUCAAGUGUGUCACCAGGUUGGCCUUGAAUUUACAGCAAUCUUCCUGCUUCAGCCUCCCGAGUGCUGGAAUUACAGGGCCAGGAGAGCAGCCAACGUCCUCCUUUUCUCUUCACCCCUUGGCAUCUGGACCCAGGAAUGGACCCUUUCUUCUUUUCCCCAGGCCCCUCCCCUGGUAAGAAAAACAGCAGUUAUCCUGAGUGUGUGUUGCUGGUGUAGAUAACUGACUUAGCAGGUUUUGUUUGAGCCUCACAAUGACCUUGCUAGGUAGGUGUUAUCAUUUCCAUGACACUCAGGCAGGGCAGUGAUUCACCUAAGGUCACCCAGCAAGCACGUCGUAGAGCCAGAAGUGCCACCCAUGCCUGGUGACUCCAUAGCCUGGGAAGCUGGAAGCUUGUAGAGAAAUGGGAAUUUCUGGGACUUUAUAACUGAAAAGGCCAAGGGGUAGGAUUGGUGUCAGGUGUGGCUGAAUCCUGGGGCUCAAAUGGGUUCUUUGUGUGUUGGCUUUACUCUCAGGUGGGUCCCCAGUUAGGGGACUAAAGUGGUGUGUGUCUGACUGACUUCUCAGCUGGAACAUAGUAUCUGUCUCCUGAGGAUGAAAGCCAAAGGCUCAGGGCAGAUUGUCAUUGGCCAGGGCAAUGGUGUGCCCUGAUUGGGCAGGCUUAGGUCACAGGCACUUCUCUGGUUGUGAGGGGGCAGAGCCAGCCAUGCCUGCCUGGCAGACAAAGUGGGAGCUGGAGUUUCCCUAGGGACAGUGGGGUCUUCCUUCUGGUUGACCCUCUGCGAUAUCGCACUGCUGCCUCCGGUUAAAGCCACUGUCCCCUCUCGAGGUACUGUUACCAUACCUCACAGUCUCCCUUCUCCCGUUCUGCACUCUCUGUUCUCUCCCCAGAGUGCUCUUUGUCUGGCUUUCCCCCAUGGCUGAGACUUUCUCAUUUAGACCUCUGUCUGGCCAACCACUCCAAAGCAGUGUCUGUAUAUUUCCUGGGCUGCAUACUUAGCCCCUGAAACAAGGCCAACAUGAGAAGACAGAAGAUGACCUCUGUUGCCUGGCAGUCUGUGCAAGCAGCCUAGGACAGCCAUGGAGAGAUCCCAUUAGCUUCUUCCUCGUUGCUUUAUUAUUCUCAGUACAGGUUUCCUGUCUUGUGGUCCAAUGUGGCUGUUCUUGCUCCCGCCAUCACAUCCACAUUCCAGCCAAGGGAGAAGGGCGCACCCUGAAAGUGGCAAGCCUCACUCUGCUCAUGUCCAGUUGUACAGAACUGAGCCACAUGGCCGCAGCCAGCUGCAGGAAAAGCUGGGAAAAGCCCCGCUGUUCUGGGAAGGGUGAAGUCAGCCC